AGAAUCAACGCUGGCGGCGUGCCUAACACAUGCAAGUCGAACGAGAAAGGGGAGCAAUCCCUGAGUAAAGUGGCGACCGGGUGAGUAACACGUGACUAACCUACCCUCGAGUGUGGAAUAACAUCGGGAAACCGAUGCUAAUACCGCAUAACAUCGGCGCUUUUAAGAGAUGCCGAUCAAAGGAGCAAUCCGCUUGAGGAGGGGGUCGCGGCUGAUUAGCUAGGUUGGCGGGGUAACGGCCCACCAAGGCGAAGAUCGGUAGCC
rnacentral:rRNA from 1 species